rnacentral:lncRNA from 1 species
GUUGAGGUUUUCCUCUAGGGAAUCCGACGAGAUCGCGAGCUUCGUGAUUGAGGAUUUCUAUGCGGCUUGUGGUAAUUUGUGAUGGACUAGUUGGAGCACCCCUGCAGGGUUAAAUCUUUCGGAAAGCCGUGCCCGCGGUUAUGUGGCAACAUGGAAGCUUUGUUUAACACUGGUUCUAGAUAACUUGAAGUUAACUUAACUAAAACAUGCCAACUGUGUGUGUAACCGUGACUGUCUCUUUCGUGAGUUCCUUCUCCGAUCGAGGACAUGGUGGGGUUAUGUCUGACGUAGGUAGGUGUUCAGGAUCAUUCUUUUGAUCAUCAGUAGUUCACGUCCGUUAUGCGUAGAUCUUUCCCCCCUCUUAUUUCUUGUACUCGUAAGUUAGCCACCAAAUAUAUGCUUAGCCGCUGCUGCUACCUCACCACUUAACCAUACCUCACCCAUUAAGCUUUGCUAGUCUUGAUACCUCUGGAAAUGAGAUUGCUGAGUCCCCUGUGGCUCACAGAUUACUACAACACCAGUUGCAGGUACAGGUAAAGG